CCUACGGGUGGCUGCAGUGGGGAAUAUUGGACAAUGGGGGGAACCCUGAUCCAGCCAUGCCGCGUGUGUGAAGAAGGCCCUCGGGUUGUAAAGCACUUUCAGUGAGGAAGAACGCCUGGUGGUUAAUACCCAUCAGGAAAGACAUCACUCACAGAAGAAGCACCGGCUAACUCCGUGCCAGCAGCCGCGGUAAUACGGAGGGUGCGAGCGUUAAUCGGAAUUACUGGGCGUAAAGCGCGCGUAGGUGGCUUGAUAAGCCGGUUGUGAAAGCCCCGGGCUCAACCUGGGAACGGCAUCCGGAACUGUCAAGCUAGAGUGCAGGAGAGGAAGGUAGAAUUCCCGGUGUAGCGGUGUAAUGCGUAGAGAUCGGGAGGAAUACCAGUGGCGAAGGCGGCCUUCUGGACUGACACUGACACUGAGGUGCGAAAGCGUGGGUAGCAAACAGGAUUAGAUACCCUUGUAGUC
rnacentral:rRNA from 1 species